rnacentral:misc_RNA from 1 species
GAUGAAGAACGUAGCGAAAUGCGAUAAGUAGUGUGAAUUGCAGAAUUCAGUGAAUCAUCGAAUCUUUGAACGCACAUUGCGCCUUCUAGUAUUCUGGGAGGCAUGCCUGUUUGAGCGUCAUUAAACCUCUCUCAAGUAUGAUUACUUGGAUGUGAAGGAAGAGUACCUUAAACUUAAGGAGUGUUCUCCUUUGAAAUUGAUUAGCAGAUGGUAAUGUUAUUAAAUCCCUGAUGUUGUAAGAAAUAACAGUGGUUUUGUAGACUAUUAUCUAGCUUUAAAUUAUAAUUUUUAUUAUGGUUGACCUCAAAUCAGGUAAGGAUACCCGCUGAACUUAAGCAUAUAAUAAGCGGAGGA